rnacentral:rRNA from 1 species
AUUGAACGCUGGCGGCAGGCCUAACACAUGCAAGUCGAGCGGAUGAGGGAAGCUUGCUUUCCGAUUUAGCGGCGGACGGGUGAGUAAUGCCUAGGAAUCUGCCUAUUAGUGGGGGAUAACGUUCCGAAAGGAACGCUAAUACCGCAUACGUCCUACGGGAGAACGUGGGGGAUCUUGGGACCUACCGCUAAUAGAUGAGCCUAGGUCGGAUUAGCUAGUUGGUGAGGUAACGGCUAACCAAGGCGACGAUCCGUAGCUGGUCUGAGAGGAUGAUCAGCCACACUGGAACUGAGACACGGUCCAGACUCCUACGGGAGGCAGCAGUGGGGAAUAUUGGACAAUGGGCGAAAGCCUGAUCCAGCCAUGCCGCGUGUGUGAAGAAGGUCUUCGGAUUGUAGAGCACUUUAAGUUGGGAGGAAGGGUUGUAAGCUAAUAUCUUGCAGCCUUGACGUUACCAACAGAAUAAGCACCGGCUAACUCUGUGCCAGCAGCCGCCGUAA